GUGGUGUUGAUCACGUAACGUAGGGAUUGGGAUUCGCUCGUCGUCGGUCCAUCGUCUGUGGCCGUCGGUACCUCUCGUGAGCGCACGAUGGCUCACGGUUGGUAGCGUACGGUACGUCGGAGGUUUGGAAAGGCGCUGCGUUGCAAGAGGCACGGGAAGUGGCGGCGUUCCUGCGUUCCGUCGGUGCAGCAUAGAGUUAGAGUACGCUCCGCUGGCCGCCGCCAGCGCAGCUGGCGGCACUCCACGAGGAGCCGGAGCCGCCGCGGCGUCGACGCCCCGACCGGUGCCUGGUUCCAGCUCCGCGCUAGCGGCGCGGGUAGGUCCGGGGCCUGGAGGCGUUGACGGUUUGCGGGCUGGAGGGCUUGUGCGGCGGCCUGUGGUUGACGACGGGCUGCGGGCCGUGGCCGUAGUGGCUGAAACUCGACGGCGGGCGAAGGAGCGGCGAGGCGCACGCAGGCCGUCGCGUGGACCACCUGCGCCUCAUGGACCGGUUCAUGCUCUCCCGGCACCGCGAGUACUUCGUCGACGGACGGCUACUGGGCGCGUCGAAGCUCGUCGUCACCGUGCACGUGACGCGGAUGACGCUGCGGCGGAAGCUGGUCCAGCCCAAGGGCCUGGAACUCUAGGUCCACGUGUUGACGACCGAGAAGAAGGGUACCGUGUCCAAGAUGCAGAUGAAGGUGCUCUCCUAGGAGCCGUUCGAGUAGCCGCUGCUGUGGAAGCGCGACGGGAAGACCUUGACCCUGCGCGGCCGGCCGUACUGCGACGGCCGCUAGAUGCGGUUGUCCAGCAGCGGCGAGAUGCUGCUCUCCGCGCUGGGGCGGGUGGUCGGCGGCCACGACUGGCUGGAACUGAGGUCACCCUGGCUGCGGUUAUAGGGUUCUCUGGUCGUCUAGCUAGUCUUGGAGUUCUAGUACAUGGCGGUCUACUAAAGCCUGCGCUUCUUCUGCGACGACAAGGACCCUGUCGGCAUGGCGCGGCCGCUGGUCGGCCUGGGCCCGCGCCCGAGGGACCUCUUGCACGGCGUGCCGUGCCAGGUGCAGACCUGACCGCUGGGCCGCGUCGGCUUGAACCUCCUGUACCCGUUGAAGAAGAGCCGCCGCGCGCUGGGGUAGAAGAAGCGCGUGGUGCCGUUGUAGCUGGCGGACACCGUGCAGACCGCGGCGGAGGCGGGCUCGUUGUGGCUGAAGUGGCUGGGGCUGACCGAGCUGCGGCGGAAGGAGAAGAUGCUGCUCCUCCGGGCGGGGCACGCGCACGCGCAGGCCCUGACGGAGCUGGGCCGGCGCGACGCCAUGUGCAUGGUCCUGCAGCCGGACGGCACCGAGUUGCGGUCCGGCCGGUUCCGCAGGCCGCCCUGCGGCCGCGGGCGGUGUUGGCCAUGGGAGGGACGGUGGGACCUGUCCUGGUAUGCCCACUGCCACUGCUCCGGGUCUCACAGGUCCUCGGCGGCCCUCUUCCUCCUCCUCCUCCUCCACGACCAGCACCUCCCCUAGCUCUAGCGGCUGGUAAAGUUGUUCAAGCAGUUCAAGCUGCACAACCACUUGCUCGGGCUCCCGCCUCACCCGUCGUGCGGCCGCUGCCGCUGCCCCAUGACGCGACCCUCGAAGCGCGUAUGCGGCGUGUACCAGGCCGGGCUCCUCUACUCCUUCCCUGGCCAGUUCUGCCACCGCUCCAAGCCGCACACGCUGGACUACCUGCUGUAGCCCCGCCUGCUGCUGGUCUGCCACCACCACAGCGAGCAUGGGUCCACGCCGCCACUCGACCAGUGGCAACCGCCGCAGUCGUAGUCGAUGGAGUUCACUUCAAUGGAUUACACCAGGCGAGAGCGCAGCCACCGAGCGGCACCAUAUCUUAGAUACAUUACCACUACCACUACUUAAUAUUUAUCCCCAGACGAUUAAGAGUCAGCUGACUCUUAAUCACUUUAGAGUCAGCUGUCCUAAUUGGUAUGCUAAGCUAACUGGACAUAAAUAGCGACUACAUAAAAACAAAAAGUUUUGGAUAACCCGAAAGAGAUAAACUCGCCGACCGCCGACGUACCCGACACCCGAUGCCGAACACCAGGAAGAGUAAAAGGGAAAAGACAAAAAAAAUAAAAGAAUUAUCUAUAGGGUGCAUUUAUAUAACAUAAAAAACAAAAAGACAAUCCAAACACACAUAUGUUUCUUCUAUGCACAUGAAUAGAUCGAAAAAAAGAUGAAAUAAUAAAUAAAAGAUAAAAGAGUAAAACACAUAAAUAAAAAUAUACAAAAUAAACAGACAAAAUGAAGAUAAAGAUGAAAACGGAUAAAAAUAGUAA
rnacentral:rRNA from 1 species